rnacentral:lncRNA from 1 species
GUAGAGUUUUAGAAGAAACUUUGAGAAAAAUGUUUAAAAGUUUAGAGCAAACACAGAUUUAAAACAGAUCUAAAAGAAAUCGGAAGAAUCUUAAAGGCUAGGGUUCCAAAAGAACCCCAAAUAGUGAGAAAGACUUUGAAAAUCAUCGGUCUAAGCAUGAGAGUCAAGAGUCAGGCUCGAAUAGCCAUCGCUGGCAGGAGCAAGGUCAAAGAUGACCAGAGACAACCAUAAAAUUGAAUUCGGCCAAGGUCUGGACCAAGCUUUUCCAGGAUCUAGCCUUGAAAUCAUGAUAAUCGGGCAUGUAGAAGUCAUAAGAGGUGGAUACAGGUUUAUGAUGACCUUGGAAGCCAUUGACUUGGGAGAUUUUAGAGUUAUCAUUGGGAGUGGAGGCUAGGGUUUGAGAGAUGAUUGAGAGAGAAAGGGAUUCAGAGGCGGC